AUUCUGCCCAUGCGGGGAAGGAUGAGAAGCUUCGACCAAGGUUCGACUCGAGCGCCAGCGAGAGAGCGUGGCCGCAGGCAACGACCCGAAGGGCGAAG
rnacentral:sRNA from 1 species